AACGAACGCUGGCGGCAGGCCUAACACAUGCAAGUCGAGCGCGCCCUUCGGGGUGAGCGGCGGACGGGUGUGUAACGCGUGGGAACGUGCCCUUUUCUACGGAAUAGCCUCGGGAAACUGAGAGUAAUACCGUAUACGCCCUUUGGGGGAAAGAUUUAUCGGAAAAGGAUCGGCCCGCGUUGGAUUAGGUAGUUGGUGGGGUAAUGGCCUACCAAGCCGACGAUCCAUAGCUGGUUUGAGAGGAUGAUCAGCCACACUGGGACUGAGACACGGCCCAGACUCCUACGGGAGGCAGGAGUGGGGAAUCUUAGACAAUGGGGGCAACCCUGAUCUAGCCAUGCCGCGUGAGUGAUGAAGGCCUUAGGGUUGUAAAGCUCUUUCAGCUGGGAAGAUAAUGACGGUACCAGCAGAAGAAGCCCCGGCUAACUCCGUG
rnacentral:rRNA from 1 species